GACAAACGCUGGCGGCGUGCUUAACACAUGCAAGUCGAACGGAAAGGCCCUGCUUUUGUGGGGUGCUCGAGUGGCGAACGGGUGAGUAACACGUGAGUAACCUGCCCUUGACUUUGGGAUAACUUCAGGAAACUGGGGCUAAUACCGGAUAGGAGCUCCUGCUGCAUGGUGGGGGUUGGAAAGUUUCGGCGGUUGGGGAUGGACUCGCGGCUUAUCAGCUUGUUGGUGGGGUAGUGGCUUACCAAGGCUUCGACGGGUAGCCGGCCUGAGAGGGUGACCGGCCACAUUGGGACUGAGAUACGGCCCAGACUCCUACGGGAGGCAGCAGUGGGGAAUAUUGCACAAUGGGCGGAAGCCUGAUGCAGCAACGCCGCGUGCGGGAUGACGGCCUUCGGGUUGUAAACCGCUUUCGCCUGUGACGAAGCGUGAGUGACGGUAAUGGGUAAAGAAGCACCGGCUAACUACGUG
rnacentral:rRNA from 1 species